UACGUAGGUGGCGAGCGUUGUCCGGAAUCACUGGGCGUAAAGGGCGCGUAGGCGGUUUUGCCAGUCGCAUGUGAAGGACCAGGGCUUAACCUUGGGGGGUCAUGCGAAACUGUGAGACUUGAGUGCAGUAGAGGAAAGCGGAAUUCCUGGUGUAGCGGUAAAAUGCGUAGAGAUCAGGAGGAACACCGGUGGCGCAGGCGGCUUUCUGGGCUGCAACUGACGCUGAGGCGCGAAAGCGUGGGGAGCAAACAGG
rnacentral:rRNA from 1 species